GCCAGGAUGGCGGAGUGGCCAAUCGCAACAGACUGUAAAUCUGUCGCCCGUUCGGGCUGCCUAGGUUCGAAUCCUAGUCCUGGCA
rnacentral:tRNA from 1 species